UACGGAGGGGGCUAGCGUUGUUCGGAAUUACUGGGCGUAAAGCGCACGUAGGCGGACUGUUAAGUCGGGGGUGAAAUCCUGGGGCUCGAACCUCAGAAUUGCCUCCGAUACUGGCAGUCUCGAGUGCGGGAGAGGUGAGUGGAAUUCCCAGUGUAGAGGUGAAAUUCGUAGAUAUUGGGAAGAACACCAGUGGCGAAGGCGGCUCACUGGCCCGUAACUGACGCUGAGGUGCGAAAGCGUGGGGAGCAAACAGGG
rnacentral:rRNA from 1 species